UUGGAGAAGAGCUCUCCUUCCAUUCAGGCUCACGGCAAAGCACGUUGCCUUCUUUCUUUUGCAAAAUAACCACCGGAUACUUCUCAGAGAGAUGCUACGGAGAUGCUUCAGCCUUGAACACCAUGCUCUAAAGCUCUCCAUUACUGAAGAAAAGGAUUUCCACUCAAUUAAAUCAUGAAGCAGAAGAUUAUGCAGUUUGAGUCUCAAAUGUAAAAGGUUUGAAGAGACUGCAUAUAGAUUUCAUGUAUAUCUGUGAUUGGCUGAAUUCAGAAUGGAAACGUCGUUCACUAUGAUGUAACCUUGAGCAAGUCAGUCUCUCUCUGUGGGCCUCAAUUCCAUCAUCUAUAGAAUGAAGGAUUUGGGUGAGAAUAUCUUCAAGUUCCUUCCAGCUCUGCUACAUUCUACAAUUCUAGA